rnacentral:rRNA from 1 species
AUUGAACGCUGGCGGCAGGCCUAACACAUGCAAGUCGAACGGUAACAGGAAGCAGCUUGCUGCUUCGCUGACGAGUGGCGGACGGGUGAGUAAUGUCUGGGAAGCUGCCUGAUGGAGGGGGAUAACUACUGGAAACGGUAGCUAAUACCGCAUAAUGUCGCAAGACCAAAGAGGGGGACCUUCGGGCCUCUUGCCAUCGGAUGUGCCCAGAUGGGAUUCGCUUGUUGGUGGGGGAACGGCUCACCAAGGCGACGAUCCCUAGCUGGUCUGAGAGGAUGACCAGCCACACUGGAACUGAGACACGGUACAGACUCCUACGGGAGGCAGCAGUGGGGAAUAUUGCACAAUGGGCGCAAGCCUGAUGCAGCCAUGCCGAGUGUAUGAAGAAGGCCUUCGGGUUGUAAAGUACUUUCAGCGGGGAGGAAGGGAGUAAAGUUAAUACCUUUGCUCAUUGACGUUACCCGCAGAAGAAGCACCGGCUAACUCCGUG